AAUCAACGCUGGCGGCGUGCCUAACACAUGCAAGUCGAACGCGAAAGGGGGCUUCGGCUCCUAAGUAGAGUGGCGUCCGGGUGAGUAACACGUAGGUAAUCUGCCUUCGGGUGGGGAAUAACCAGUCGAAAGAUUGGCUAAUACCGCAUAAUGCAGCGGCACCUAAUGGUGAUUAGUUGUUAAAGACGGGGGAGUCGUAAGACCUCGCGCCUGAAGAGGAGCCUGCGGCAGAUUAGCUAGUUGGUGAGGUAAUGGCUCACCAAGGCUUCGAUCUGUAGCUGGUCUGAGAGGACGGCCAGCCACACUGGCACUGACACACGGGCCAGACUCCUACGGGAGCAGCAGUGGGGAAUUUUGGGCAAUGGGCGAAAGCCUGACCCAGCAACGCCGCGUGA
rnacentral:rRNA from 1 species